UACGUAGGGGGCAAGCGUUGUCCGGAAUCAUUGGGCGUAAAGAGCGCGUAGGCGGCCCUGUAAGUCCGCUGUGAAAGUCAAGGGCUCAACCCUUGGAUGCCCGUGGAUACUGCAGGGCUAGAGUCCGGAAGAGGCGAGUGGAAUUCCUGGUGUAGCGGUGAAAUACGCAGAUAUCAGGAAGAACACCCGUGGCGAAGGCGGCUCUCUGGGACGUUACUGACGCUGAGACGCGAAAGCGUGGGGAGCAAACAGG
rnacentral:rRNA from 1 species